rnacentral:rRNA from 1 species
UUUCCGUAGGUGAACCUGCGGAAGGAUCAUUGUCGAAUCCUGCAAUAGCAGACCGCGCACACGUUAAACCACAUCGGGAUCGUGGCCGGGGGCGACCCUGGCUUCCGAUCCCACCCCGCGCCGCGCGCUGCGGGCAAACGAACCCCGGCGCGGAAUGCGCCAAGGAAAACUAAUGGAAGCGCCGUCCCCCCGUCGCCCCGUUCGCGGUUAGCGCCGGGUGGUGCCUCUUAAAGUCAUAAUGACUCUCGGCAACGGAUAUCUCGGCUCUCGCAUCGAUGAAGAACGUAGCGAAAUGCGAUACUUGGUGUGAAUUGCAGAAUCCCGUGAACCAUCGAGUCUUUGAACGCAAGUUGCGCCCGAAGCCUUCUGGCCGAGGGCACGCCUGCCUGGGCGUCACGCAUCGCGUCGCCCCCCAUCCCAUUCGCCGGAAAUUGGCCCCCCGUGCGCCUUGAAGCGCGGUCGGCCUAAAUGCGAGCCCGUGGCGACCCGCGUCACGACAAGUGGUGGUUGAACUAUCAACUCUCGUGCUGUCGUGCUGCUGGUCGUAUGUCGGGCAUCGUUGUAGACCCAACGGCGCAAUCGUUUGUGCCUUCGACCGCGACCCCAGGUCAGGCGGGAUUACCCGCUGAGUUUAA